CAACGCGAAGAACCUUACCUACUCUUGACAUCCACGGAAUUUGGCAGAGAUGCCUUAGUGCCUUCGGGAACCGUGAGACAGGUGCUGCAUGGCUGUCGUCAGCUCGUGUUGUGAAAUGUUGGGUUAAGUCCCGCAACGAGCGCAACCCUUAUCCUUUGUUGCCAGCGAUUCGGUCGGGAACUCAAAGGAGACUGCCGGUGAUAAACCGGAGGAAGGUGGGGAUGACGUCAAGUCAUCAUGGCCCUUACGAGUAGGGCUACACACGUGCUACAAUGGCGCAUACAAAGAGAAGCGACCUCGCGAGAGCAAGCGGACCUCACAAAGUGCGUCGUAGUCCGGAUCGGAGUCUGCAACUCGACUCCGUGAAGUCGGAAUCGCUAGUAAUCGUGGAUCAGAAUGCCACGGUGAAUACGUUCCCGGGCCUUGUACACACCGCCCGUCACACCAUGGGAGUGGGUUGCAAAAGAAGUAGGUAGCUUAACCUUCGGGAGGGCGCUUACC
rnacentral:rRNA from 1 species